rnacentral:lncRNA from 1 species
CCUUCCAUUUGAAAAUCUGACCCCUGGCACUGCCAGGAUGUCAUUUUUCAGGUUCUGGAAAAAUUCAUUCAAGAGCUGACACCCACCUGCCCUGCCUACCUGCAGCCUCCUGUGUUCCAGCUUCACAGGCUUCUCAAAUGUGCCUGAACCAGCCUGUGCUCCCAGCCUAACCUGCAGUGAUGCUCCCCUGGUCCCAGCCAUGUCUGGGUUCCACAGCACCUGUGGGUUCCCCCCCAGCCCCACCCCCAUCAUUGACCUGCUAGACAAAGUUAACAGUGUCUGUCUGGCCCCCUCCUGGAUGGCGAACUCCUGGAGGGCAGGGCUUGCUUCUUCCUCUCCUCUCUCCAAUGCUGGUAUAAAGUCGGUGCAGGAUGUGGGUGCCUGUGGAAUAAAAGACUGAAUGGGAGCACUUGCUUCCUGGAAAGGAAGAGAUUAUGGCCGGAGCAGUGAAGUCUCUUUCCAAAAGCUUUUUGAAGUUCUUUCGAUUGUUUGCUAAUUGAGCCGGAAAUGACUCCCUUGAACAGGAAGCUGCUCACAGAAUCACAAACCAAGAGCCCCCUUAUCUCACUCUUACACCUGGCAGAACCUCCUCAGGCUGGAGAGUGGAGCCGGCUCGGUCCACCCCUUGGGUUUUAGGGUGGUGCCGCCCCUCCGUUCAUGGCAUUGACUGAAGGAAAAACGCAAGACACAAGAGUUAGGUUUUGGAGUUCCCACUGUGGUGCAGCCGGAUUGGUGGCAUCUCUGGAGCACUGGGAUGCAGGUUCGAUCCCUGGCCCCCCAGCAGUAACCACAGUAGGUUAAGGACCCAGCAUUGCCAUGGCUGUGGUGUAGGUCACAGCUAUGGCUUGGAUCUGAUCCCUGGCCUGGGAACUUGCUAUGCCUUGAGGUGGCUAAAAAAGAAAGAAAGAAAAAAAAAAGAGUUACGAGUUAAGUUCUAUUAAGGUACCUCACUGAGGAUGAUAGCCCGGGAAACAGCCUCUCAGUAGCUCUGAGGGAACUGCUCCAAAGAGGCGGUGAGAGAACAGACGAUGUGGUUUUUGACCAGGGAAGAGCAGAUCUUGGUAAAAGACCACUGCUAGUCGCAGUGAAUGGGGAUCUCAAGAUUUUAGUGCUUGUCUGUGAAUGAGAAGAUGCAAGAGUCUGGGCUCAUUGAAAUUCUUGCUGAGAUGUGCAUCCCGUGCUCUCAGGAGCGUGUUUCCCAAAGCACAGAGUACCUCUUCCUUCCAGGUGCACCUCGGGUCAGCCGCUGCAGCGUCAGCCACUGCAGCGGCUAAGGACUCAGUCCUCGUAGAACCGAACAGAGGGCAACGUUCUUUGUUUAACAGUGGACGCCACCCUGGGGGCAGGUUCUUUUUGUUUUGUUUGCCCAGAUCAGAAGCUUGGGACUGGGGGCCAUCCAGGGCAGUCCUGUGUGCGUCCAGCAUCUGGACUGGGCAGGGCUCAGGGGCGCUGAAAUGAGGGUGAGGUGCCAGCUGUCAAGGAACUGGGAUGGGGGUGCAGGGGGCUUGAAGGGAGCAGGAACAGGCAUUUGACCUGCAACUGAAGGAAAACUGAAAAAAAUAGGUAAGAAUUGCACCAAGGGAAUUUUGGUUUUUGAAGCUAAAGACAAUUUUUAAAAUUUUUUAUUUAUUUUUUGUCUUUUUUUUUUUUAGGGCCGUUCCCAGGCUAGGGGUCAAAUGGGGGCUGUAGCUGCAGGCCUGUGUCACAGCCAUAGCAACUGUCACAGCCAUAGCAACCCCAGAUCUGAGCCGCGUCUGCGACCUACACCCUGGUUCAUGGCAACGCUGGAUCCUUAACCCACUGAGUGGGGCCCACAUUCUCAUGGAUACUAGUUGGGUUCUUAACCCACUGAGCCACAUGGGAAUUCUUUUUUUUUUUUUUUUUUUUAAAUGGCCAAGGUCUUUGGAUCUCUGAGUAUUUAAUAAAUGGUUAUGUGUUUUAUUAGCCUAAAUUGCAAAAAGAAUCUGUGGUGAUGAAGAGUUGGCUUGAGAAGUGUGUCCAUCUGGGUCUAGGGUGAGGCUCUUCCCCUGAGCAGACAGGGGACCGAGGCCCCAGGUCACCAGGUAGCCCAGUGUCACAAGGGCAGCUUCAGGAGUUUAUAAGAUGAACACAAACCCUAUUCAAGAUUAAAUACAUAAACCUCAGCUUGGGAGGUAAAGGCAAUUGUCAACCUGUUGUGGAAGGAAACGUCUUCCAGCUUAAAACUGUCUCGAGGACACUGACAGCCCAGGCUUUCUAGAAAGGCCCAAGGCGGCAGGCCCUGCUGGCUGCCCCCUCUGUGAUGUGUCCGGUCAAGCUGAGUGGUGACCUUUGCCCUGGGAGAGACGAGGUUGCAGCUUCUGUCCUUUCUCGACCGAGCCAGGGUUUGUACUCGUGUGACCCAAGUUCUCCCACGCCAGGCAGCCCUGGAGUGAAAGAGGGCUGUGGUGACAAGACGGCAUCUCCCUGGUGCCCCGCCCUUCCCUGUCCCUGCCCUGUCCCUGCCCUGCUCCCAGCUCUGCCCUGGGGAAGGGGUGUGCACAGUCCUGCUGCUGCUGCUCCGGCCCGACUCGGGGCAUCCUGGGCCGUCUGCGGAGCUGAGAAAGUGGAGCCGCCCUUGACCCCAUUUUCCCAGGGCUCCGCUGCAUCCCCGGGGCGGGGGCUGGGAAUGCUGUGGGCACGCCCGCCAGGACUCCUUCUGGACAGACGUUUCCACGUCUUGCCGCCCUCAGGCCCCGCUUCCGGGCCUUGCUGACCUGGGGCGGGGCAGGGGGAAUGAUUUCCUCCUUUUGCAAAAACCCCUGGCAGCUGCCCUGGCAGUCCUGGGGCGCGAGGCCGGGUUCUCUUAGGCACUAAACCAGAUAUAGCACAGCUGGCUAUGCGUGUCCACUGGUGAGAGUUGAUGUGGGUGCCGUUUGGGGCAUUUUCUAGAAUGAUUUUUUUUUUUUUCAUGACAAAAUUCAGACUAGAAAGUAGUGAGCUGCCCAAAUUAGAAGGAUUCAGAGCUUUUCUGAGUUCCUAUGAUAAUAUACCAGAAUCACUGCAACUUAAUAUUUUUUUUCUGCUGAAAACAUGGUAUUUUUACCUCAAAUUCUUUCAGUAACUUGCAUCUCUAAAGAAAUGACCAUUUCCUGCUUAGCCAAACAGAAUUAACGAUAAUUCCUUAGUGUCAUCAAAUACCAGGUCCAUAGUCAAAUUUCCUUAGGGUCCCCAAAAUAUAUUUCACCGCUGGUUUGUUCAAACUAGGAUUCAGUCAAAGUCCAGAUGUUGCGUUUAGUUGUUUUAAGUCUGCUUAGAUCCAGAACAGUUUGUUCUCUGUAUUUGGGGUAGUAGGAAGGGUCUCCGCACUCUAAUACGUUUAGUGGUUUCAUUUUUUUACAUUUAAAUCUGACCCAUUUGCAAUUUAUUCUCUUAUAUCUUUUAUUCUUUAGAGACAUGCCUUCAGUACAUGGAAGUUCCUGAGCCAGGGAUCGAACCGGUGACCUGAGCUGCUGCAGUGACAAUGGCCAGAUCCUUAACCAUCCGAGCCACCCACCAGGUAGCCCCUAUUCUCUUGCUUCUUGUGAGGCAAGGAUUUAAUUUUGUCUUUCCCCAGAUGGCUAUCGGGUGUUCCAACUCGCUUUAUUAAAAAGUCUCUUUCCUCCAUUAAUUUAAGAGUUAACAUAAAUCCUUUGUCAUAUGGCAACUGUCAUAAUUCUUAGGUUUUCUGUACCUUCUCAUAUGUUGCAUUGGUUUGCAAGCCUAGUCAUAUGCCUCUAGCAAGCCGUUUUCAUUAUAGAGGUUCUGUGGCAUGUUUUAGCACCUGGCAGGCCAGAGCCCCCAGGUCACUGCUCUUCUCCUCAGUUUUCCUGGUUAUUUAUUUAUUUAUUUAUUUGUUGUCUUUUUAGGGCCACGCCCGAAGCAUAUGGAAGUUCCCAGGCUUGGGGUUAAAUCGGAGCUGCAGCUGCCGGCCUGCGCCACAGCCCCAGCAACGCCCGAUCUGAGCCGUGUCUGGGACCUACACCACAGCUCACAGCAAUGCUGGAUCUGUAAUCCACUGAGCGAGGUCAGGGAUGGAACCCACAACCUCAUGGUUCCUAGUUGGGUUCAUUAACCACUGCGCCACGACGGGAACUCCUGGUAAUCAUUUGUUAUCUCACAGUUUCGUUGGGUGAGGAAUUGGGAGCAGCUGUGGGAUAGUUUGGCUUGGGGGUCACCAGCGUUUGAGGUUGCAGUCAAGAUGUCCAUCAGGGCUGCAGUCAUCUGAAGGUUCGAUUGGAGCUGAAGGGUCUCCUGCCAAGAUACCUCCCUCCAGACUGUUGAUAAGACGCGUCACAUAUUCACAGAAUUCAGAUGGGAGCCUCAGCUCCUCACCGUGGGGAGCUCUGCCUAUGGCUCCUGUCGUAUCCUACUGACAUAGCACCUCUGGUCCACCAAAUCCAGUGACCCAAGGCGGAAGCUACAAAAUCUCUGGGACUCAUCUUGUCGCUCUGUCAUCUCCUCAGGAUCUUAUCGUCUCCCCUAAAUGUGGGAGGGUCCAUGCAGCAGCGUGACUAUCAGGACCUGGAUCCUGGUGGCCAUCUCCAUGGCUCUUGGUUCCUCUGGGCUUUCGAUGCCGCCUUCUCAGUCAUCCUUCCUUUUUCACAAAAGAGAGCUGAUGCUUGCUGAGGAAUUGUUUUCUGAGCCUGUGUUUCAGUCCAGGUCCACCCAGAAGACCCAAACCACACAGAAACUUGUACAGGGAGAGCUUGGAAUAAAGACGUAUGAGCAGGGGUCCUGGGGAUUGGCUCAUAAAAGGGCUCUAAAGAGCACAGGAGCAGCAGUCAUUUCAUCUGGGAGUGAGGCCAGCCCGUCCCCAGGCUGAGCCUCAGACCCAUGAGAGUUCGGGCACCGCUUAUGGGGUUACAGGGGCUUCCUUGGAAGGACUUGCUUGAAAUCCACCUUCCAACAGAACCCUCCAGGCUCAUCAGAAGGUGCCGCAGAAGCCCUGCAAGAGGAGGAGUCUGGCUGGGGACUGUCCUGUGUGAAGCUGCCUGAGGGAUGGUGAUGGGAGACCACAUCACGAAGGGCUGAGGGGGUGUGUCCAGGGCACUGGGUUCCCGGCUGCCUCACCUGCUGGCACCUGGUUGCUCUAAGCCACCCAGGGAAGCUGUCUGUGGGCAGCUCACUGCCAGCCAUCCAAGAAGUGCCUAGCUAGCAGCAUUAAUACCGAAUACACUAAACUAGUAACAUGAGGUCAAGGGUUAAUUAAUUUCGUAACAAGGGGAAAUAACGCUUCUUAGCUUUUUUUUUUUCCUUAAGGCCGCACCCUCAGCAUAUGGAGGUUCCCAGGCUAGGGGGCAAAUCAGAGCUGCAGCUGCCCACCUACACCACAACCACAGCAACACAGGAUCUGUGCUGCAUCUGCGACCCACACCACAGCUCAUGGCAAUGCCAGAUCCUUAACCCCACUGAGCGAGGCCAGGGAUUGAACCUGCCUCUUCAUGGAUACUAGUCAGAUUCAUUACCACUGAGCCACGAUGGGAACUCCUUAGUUUUUUAUUUUUAUUUAAAAAUUUUUUUUUACAUUUAUUUAUUUAUUUGUCUUUUUAGGGCCGCACUGGUGGGAUAUGGAAGUUCCCAGGCUAGGAACCUACACCACAGCCACAGCAAUGCCAGAUCCGAGCUGUAUCUGCGACCUACACAGCUCACAGCAAUGCUGGAUCCUUAACCCACUGAUUGAGGCCAGGGAUCAAACCUGUGUCCUUAUGGAUGCUACUCAGAUUUGUUUCCACUGAGCCACAACAGGAACUCCAGUUUCUUUCUUUUUUUAAAAAAAGUUUAUUUUAUUGGGAGUUCCUGCAGUAGCACAAUGGGAUCGGCAGUGUCUCUGCAGUGCCAGGAUGCAGGUUCGAUCCCCAGCCCCGCCUGUGCAGUGGGUCAGAGGAUCCAGGGUUGCCAAAGCUGUGGCUUGGAUCUGAUCCCUG